UGCGAGAGAAGAGGGUGCCCGCAAGGGAGCGCGGAGACAGGUGGUGCAUGGCUGUCGUCAGCUCGUGUCGUGAGAUGUUGGGUUAGGUCCCGCAACGAGCGCAACCCUCACCCCUUGUUGCCACCAGGUCAGGCUGGGCACUCUAGGGGAACUGCCCCGGUCAACGGGGAGGAAGGCGGGGAUGACGUCAAGUCAUCAUGCCCCUUACGCCCUGGGCUACACACGUGCUACAAUGGCCGGUACAAAGGGAUGCCACACCGCGAGGUAGAGCUAAACCCAAAAAGCCGGUCUAAGUUCAGAUUGGAGUCUGCAACUCGACUCCAUGAAGGAGGAAUCGCUAGUAAUCGCGCAUCAGCACGGCGCGGUGAAUACGUUCCCGGGCCUUGUACACACCGCCCGUCACACCACGAAGGCCAG
rnacentral:rRNA from 1 species